GACGAACGCUGGCGGCGUGCUUAACACAUGCAAGUCGAACGGAAAGGCCCUGCUUUUGUGGGGUGCUCGAGUGGCGAACGGGUGAGUAACGCGUGAGUAACCUGCCCUUGACUUUGGUAUAACUUCAGGAAACUGGGGCUAAUACCGUAUAGGAGCUUCUGCUGCGUGGUGGGGGUGGGAAAGUUUCGGCGGUUGGGUAUGGACUCGCGGCUUAUCAGCUUGUUGGUGGGGUAGUGGCUUACCAAGGCUUUGACGGGUAGCCGGCCUGAGAGGGUGACCGGCAAAAUUGGGCCUGAGAUACGGCCCAAACUCCUACGGGAGGAAGCAGUGGGGAAUAUUGCCCAAUGGGCGGAAGCCUGAUGAAGCAACGCCGCGUGCGGGAUGACGGCCUUCGGGUUGUAAACCGCUUUCGCCUGUGACGAAGCGUGAGUGACGGUAAUGGGUAAAGAAGCACCGGCUAACUACGUG
rnacentral:rRNA from 1 species